rnacentral:rRNA from 1 species
CCAGGUUGAUCCUGGCCGUAGCAUAUGCUUGUCUCAAAGAUUAAGCCAUACACAUUUAUAUACACAAAGCCGGUACACUGCAACUGGUUCAUUAAUUCAGUUAUGGUUCCUUUGAUCGCGCCAUCUGAUACUUGGAUUACUUUGGUAAUUCUAGAGUUAAUACAUGAUGAUGAGAGCUGACCUUCCAGGAUGCGUCCGUUAAUCAGACCAAGACCAAGACCAAUCCGGGCUCGGCCAGCCCCUUUAGUGACUCUAGAUAACCUCAGGCCAACUGCACGUUCAGUGACGGCAACAAAACAUUUGGAUGUCUGCCGUAUCAACUUUCGAUGGUACUUUCUGUGCCUACCAUGGUGACCACGGGUAACAGGGAAUCAGGGUUCCAUUCGGGAGAGGGAGCCUGAAAAAUUGCUACCACAUCCAAGGAAGGCAGCAGACGCACAAAUUACCCACUCCCGACUUGAUGAGGUAGUGACUAAAAAUAACAAUACAAGACUCGUUCGAGGCCCUGUACUUGGAAUGAGGACACUUUAAAUCCUUUUACAAGGAUCCAUUGGAGGGCAAGUCUGGUGCCAGCAGUCAUAGUAUUCCAGCUCCAAUAGCUUAUAUCAAAGUUGCUGCAGUUAAAACGUUUGUAGUUGGAUUUUGGGAACGAGCCUAUGGCCUGCCGCAAUCCCAGCUAACGUCUGUCCCAUCCCCUGCCUCUCAGCGCCCCCUGGAUCCUCUUGACUGAGCGUCCUCUGGGUCUGAAGCGUUUACUUUGAAAAAAUUAGAGUGUUCAAAGCUGGCCGGUCACCUGAAUACUUCAGCUAGGAAUAGGAUUGUUUCUAUUUUGUUGGUUUUCGGAUGUAGGGCCAUGAUUAAGAGAGACAGGCAUUCGUAUUGUGCCGCUAGAAAUGACAUUCUUGGACUGGCACAAGACAAGCCAAAGCGAAGAAUAUUUUUAUUAAUGAAGAACCAAAGUCAGAGGUUUGACAACGAUCAGAUGCCUUCAUAGUACCAUCCAUAAACAAUGCUGACUAGCAAUCUUAGUUAUUCUUAUGACCAAAGUCCUUGGGUUUUGGGGGGGAGAAUGGUUACAAAGCUGAAACGUAAAGGAAUUGACAGAAGAGAACCACCAGGAGUGGAGCCCGCAGCUUAAUUUGAUUCAACACAGGAAAUCUCACCCGGUCCGAACACUGAAAGGAUUGAUAGCUCAUUAACGAUUCUGUGGGUGGUGGUGCAUAGCCGUUCUUAGUUGGUGGAGCGAUUUGUCUAGUUAAAUCCGAUAACGAGCAAGACUCCUCCAUGCUAACAAGUAACGUGACACCCCAGCUGUCAGCGUUCAAAUUCUUAGAGGGACAAGUGGCGUGCAGCCAUGCAAGAUUGAGCAAUAACAGGUUUGUGAUGCCCUUAGAUGUCUGGGCUGCACGCAUGCUACACUGAACAGAUCAGCGUGUCAGCCCUUCUGUCAUGAUGCCUACUCCCGGGGACCCAGACCAAGUCCAGCAACCCCGGAAGCAGGCAUCAAGUUACCCCAAGCAAGCCCAACAACCCCCGCUAGGGACUAUUUGGGUGCAGUCCUGGCGCCUAUGGCGCCAGGCUCAUAUGGAGAGUCAGUCCUGGCGCCAUAGGCGCCAGGCUCAUAGAUUAAAACUUACCUGAUGCAGACCAUGCUGCAAACCUACCUGAU